UCACUGGCACUCAUCUGAUCACCAAAGUUAAGCAAUGUCAAGCAUGGUCAGUAAUAUGAUGGGUGACCUCUUGGGAAUAGCAGGUGCUGUAAG